rnacentral:lncRNA from 1 species
GAAGUUGUUUGUAGCCGCUUGGAUUUCAGAUAGUGAAAAUUGGGUGCAAAGAUCGGAAGGAAGGAAUGAGCCGCGUGAUGACUUGGUUGCCUUGAUAGUCUUAGAAGAAAAAAAAGUCCCCAAAAGUGAAGUACCUGUACCGGAACUCGAAUCCUUGACUUUUCUUCCUCGCCAGAAAAUUAACAACAAUAGAAGAGAUAGCACACUAGAGCCUGAUAUAGCACCAGCAACCAUCCCGGUUACAUUAUUCUUCUUAGUCGGUUCUAUUGUUGGAGACGCAUCCAAAUUAGGUGGAAUCGUCCGAGGCUCAGGAUUAGGUCCGCCGAGAUUUCCAGUGUUGUCCACUUUAAAGAUUUCAAGGCCGUUCAAGAUAGCAUCAGAGUAUUUGGUCCUCCAUCUGGGGGCAGGGUGCAGUUGAAUAGAAAGAUUCUGCUUCAUAUUUUCUUCAUUUGGUUUUGAUCCUAUCAUCACAGCAUAAUCUCUAUAUACGGGAACACCAUUCGCACCACUCCAAGCUAUCACAUCUGCUUGAAAUUCAGCAGUUAAAUUAGCAAUGAAGAUCUGGAACACCCUAUUGCCCUCUUCAGUUACCUCUAUCUGAAACUCGCAAAAAUGAAGCCUCAGAAAAUAUGUAAAGCCGGAAUCCACUUCGAACUCCCAAGUGAGAUUAUACUUCUCGUUGACUUCCCUGUCCUGCCCCAUCGUCCUGGCGGUGGUGUAGACCACAUCCGGAGCAGAGUAAUUACGUACCCAACUGAGUUGAAUACUCCCGUUAACGGGAAGAGCACUUGGUCUGGCAUCUAUCAAGUAUUGGUCGUCCAUAUCCCAAGUUCGGUACAUGCCCCUGAUGUCGUCUGACGGUGAGAUUUGUUGCCCGCCGACGUUUAUCCGGUAUAAAUUCGCCAGAGCAUUUCUGUUUAAGAUACUGUCUGGGUUGUCCUGGCCAACAAACCUGAACCCCCGGCCGGGAUCAUCUGCCGCGGUGUAAUAGAAAUUGAGGGGCAUGGAUACAAUCUCAAUUCCAUUGAUAAAAGCAUAUGAAUCGUUGUAAUCCGGACUUGGAGUGAAGGUUAUGUUCAAUAGCCUCUGAUCGUCUUCGAUGUUAAUGCAGAAUUCUUUGAAAAAGGGAUGGCCGUUGCCAUCUGCUGUCAGUGAAGCGCUGAAGUUUCUUAACAGAGUGAAAGAAGCUGCUUUAACAGAGAAGAAAGCUGCAGAGGGGUUGAACCUUGGUUUUGAAGUUGGAUUGAAAUGCAGGCGGAUGAACUUUUGACCGGCGGUGACGUUGAAUAUGUAGGUGAAUUGCGAAUGAGAAACGCGUGAUGUUGAAUAUGGGACUUGCUUAUUUUCAGUGACGGUUGUUGAUUUGGGAGCGGAUGCGUCUUCAUGUGGGGAGUAUUGAGAGUUAACAUCUCCAACCCAAGUCCGACCGGGAGUACUCGUGUUGCCCAACCAGCCACAAGCAAGAAAUAUGUUGCUUUCUACUAGAGAGUAAUUAGAGUCACCGGUGACGACAACAGCUAGAUGAUGGCAGGAGAAGAAGAAAAAGAAGAAGAAGAAGAAGUGGAAGAUUUUUCUGUAUGUCUCCAUUAAUUUUUUGACAAUUAAUUAAUAGGCAGGCUGCAGCUAUAGCUUUGAUUCUUCAGAUAGCUAGACAUUUAAAGUUAGCAAAUUUUGCAGCAAUAUGUCCGUCUCUGUCAGUUGGGGGCCAGAGGCGCCUUGGCGUUUCGGACAUGACAAUCAAAAUGAUGGAACUUCUUAGUCUUCGUCAACUUCUUAGUCUUUGCCCUUUGGCAUCAGUCCAUUCUACUAUCUCCCGUAAGGCACUUUCCAUGGCCACUAUUACUAGACUUGUUUUGAAAUAUCAACUUAUAUAAAACCAUACUAUGAAACUUCGUAGUAACCACAAAUCAAUCAGUUGGAUUCCAUAAUUAAAUAUACACUUAACAAAUCUAGAUUGGACUUGAAUGUUAAAUUAGUGUUCGGUCACUAAAUUAAAAAAAUAUUCGCCCAUAAUUGGUUAUUUUAGAAAUACAUGUUUAGUAGUUUGUUGAAAGGUUGAACUAAUUAUAUUAAUGGUGUGUUUACUAAUUAGUUAUUGGAAUAAGCUGGAAUCAGAAUGAGCUGGAAUCGAAAUGUGCUGUAAUCGUAAUCAGGAAUGUGAAUUAAAAUAAAUUAUUUACUUGAGUUGCAGGAAUUGGAAUCGAAAUGGAAAUGAGAUUUAUUUAAUCUCAUUUCCAUUGAUGUGUUUAUUUUAUCUUGAAAUUGGAAUGGACUAUCAUAAUUUAUAAAAAUGCCCUUUGUUAAUUAUUGUCAAAUGAUGAUGAUGAUGAUGAUGAUAAUAAUAAUAAUAAUAAUGAAAUAAAGAAAAAUUAUAGUAGUAGUAGUAACUUAUCAUUAUAAUAAUAAUUAUUAUUAUUAUUAUUAUAAAUUAUAUUAUAAUAAUAUUUUAGUAAAUAAUAAUCUGCUGUACCGUACAUCCGCCUUGGCCGUAAACUUGAAAAUUCUAAUUAACUAUAGAAUAGAUAGGCCUGAUUUGCAACUCACAUGUUCUCUCCUCUUACUCCGCUCUUCAUUAAUUUUUGUAUGUUUUUGUGACUUUAUUUAUAUAUAGUCGAGAAUCCAAAUAGUAUGAUUAAAAUAAAAAAUCGAUUAGAAGACAGGUUGGUUUCCAAUUAGUUCAGAACAAGGGAUUAAAAAAAAAAACUUACCGAUCACUAUUUCACAGGUGAGUUCAUGAGGAAAAUAAUUAGGAGUUGCUUUCUAUUGACCACCGGGACUUGCACGGCUGCUUGACUUGUACAAUUACUGUUGUUGAAUUUGAACGACCAUCGUUAGCAUGUUAGAAUUAGAUUGGAUUAUAUUUGCUUGUGUCUUUUAUUUUGUGUAGUAUAAGAUUAAAUUGGAUUAUAAAAGUAAUAUGUUAUUGGAUAUUAAAAUCACAUAUAUAUUUAUUUAGAAGUGGGACUACUUACAUUUAAAAAAUUACUCUGAACACAUUAAUUUUAAUAAAAGUAUGUAUUUAAAAAAUAAAUUAAAUGCCUUUAGAUAAAGAACAUAUAUUGAUUCAUUCAUCUGUUCCCUCCCACCCGCCUUAAUUGUGAGACUAGAACCAUGUACUUUAAUGUUCACAUCGGUGUUGCCCAUAUGCCAAACAUAUCAUCAAGCUAACUUAGGUAAUUAUUACUCGAAAUCACUAAUUAAAUGAGGAUGGAAACCUUAUCAAUUUACGUUAAUCUUUGUCCCUUAUUAUUAUUUAAACUCAGGUAUCAAUAAUGUAAAGUUCAUAUUUAAUUAUGACCAAUUCAGCUAUGCCUAAGCAAUGUCUCUCAGUAACGUAAUGUCUACUGUCAUAGAUUAAACUCAAACCGUCUCAUAACUAGGAUAAGGAUCCUCUCUCUCUCUCUCUCUCUUUGAUGCAAAAGCUUAACGUAAAUGGACAAAAGCUUCUCAGUGGAUCAGAUUAUGAUGCAAAUAUCUUUUGAUGACGGCUUUAAUAUGAUUAUUCUAAUUUAGAAAAUGUCAAGUCUGAAUACAUUUGGAAGCAUGUGUGAAAGAACUUAAAUCGAAAUUUAUGAGUAUGAAUUUUAUGAGGCUUACUACUAUAGGAUCAAUAUUUCAUUUUCCUGACCCUUUUUAUAUUUUUCCUAUGAAGGAGGCUGAUGAGUGUGGUUGCUAGGCAGAAUUUAAUGCCUUUGCUCUUGCUAUGCAGUGUUCAUUUAGUAAUUUCUCAUUUAAGGUAAAUCCUACCACUCCUAGAUUCUUCUAAUGCGGUUAGCGAACUCUUGAAUAUUAGUUGAAAAUGAAUUAAUUACUUGCAUUUUUACAUAGCUUCAUAAAAACUAGCUUAAUAAAAAUUUAUUUGGAAAUUAUUUGCCAAGAACCUAAUAUUUCUUUUAUAGCUGUUGUUAUUUAAUCCUAUUAUAACUUUCGAAAAAGUAUACUUGGAAAUUUUUUCAGGCCUAAAUUAAAUUCUUCAAGUUUAAAUUGAAUAAAUUUGGCUUUUGGUUAAAUCUCUGAACCAAAUUGAACAAAUUUUAUAAUUUUACUAAUAAAAUUAAGUCUAUUUCAAUUCAAAAGAGUGUAAAACUAAAAGAAAACUCGAGAACAUGCAACAGUUUAUAUGAAAGAUACAACAACUGGGAUCAAACAUAAAACAUAGAUGUCAAACAUGAAAUGGGCGAGAAAAUCCUCAAGUUUUGGCUUUAUUUAAGACAUGCAACAGUUUAAGUGAAACAUGCAACAAUAAAGGUCAAACAUGCCACAUAAAAUCUACCUAUAAGAAAGUCAUAUAAAAGUGCAACAGCUGAGGUCAAACUAAUGCUAAACAUGAGAACCAUGUAAACAUACAACAGUUCAUGUCAAACAUGCAAUAACUAAGAUUGAACAUGUAAUAUGAAUGUCAAACAUGAAACAAACGGGAAAAUCCUCAAUUUUUGGCUUUAUUUAAGACGUACAAUAAUUUAAGUGAAAUAUACAACAAUUGAGGUCAAACAUACAACAUGAAAUCUACAUUUAAAAAAGUCAUAUGAAACAUGCAACAAUUGAGGUUAAAUAGGAAAACCAUGUAAACAUUCAACGAGUCACAUUAAACAUGCAACAAUUAAAGUCAAGCAAGCAAUACAAAUGUUAAACAUGAAAUAGGCGGGAAAAUUUUCGGUUUUUGGCUUUAUUCGAGACAUGCAACAAUUCUAAUAAAACAUACAACAACUAAAGUCAAACAUCAACAUCAAAUCUACAUGGAAAAAAGUCACAUGAAACAUGCACAACUGAGGUCAAACUUGCAACAACUCAGGUUAAACAUGAGUACGAUUUAAAUGAAACACAUGAUAUAUGUGACAGAUGGUCCAGCAUGUGACAUGGAUGUCAAACAUGAAAUGGAUGGGAAAAAUAUUUUGGGGUUUUUUUUUUUUGAAUUCUGUUAUACACAUUUUAUUAUUGAUAUUUCAUCAGACAUUACAAAUUACAAUAUUUACAAUCGUACUAAGCAACUGGGACCACUGCCAUACAUUAACCCACUGAAGUAUUUGCCCAGAUACUUUAAACCCUCUCUAAUAUUCGAGAAGUGUCUACUCCACUCACAUUUCGUAAAGAAGAGACAAUCUCCACUCACAUUUCGUAAAGGAGAGACAAUCUUCACUCAAUUAGUUGAUAAUUUUGGGGUAUUUAGAAUAAUAAAGAUGAGACAAAUAACAAUAUAUAUUUAAAUUUUAACAUUCACUAUGAGACAUCACAUUUAAAAUAUGGAACAAAUAUUUAUCUUGUAUUAUUUAUAAUUAUUUAUUUUUUUUAUUGAUUAUGAUAAGAUGCAACCGAUCAUGAAACUGAUUGCACCAAGUUUUUGGUUGCCUAAUUAGCUCUCUUUUUUAAAGCUUGGCACUAUACCAAAUUGGCAUUGUAGCCAUGCCAAACCCAUGUGAAGAGGAUUGAGGGACAAAUUGAGAAUUAAUGCUUCUUUGGAUCUAAAUUGUAGCUAAACAUACUUGUUUACUGGCCAUUUGUCUCUCUAAAAAUUUUAAGCUAUGAAUUAAUUGCACAUCAAUAAACACAUUAUCUUUAAAGUUUGCAUAGUUUGGGUUUGGCUUUUUAAUGCCCCUGAGCUUUCCAUCAUAAAUAUGGGAUUUGAUUAAGAUAUUAAAAUUGCAACGAUAGAGAGAUUUUCAUUUUGUUUUCAAAGUUUACUUCCAUUUCUCAAGUGUCGAUGGUGAAUCAACAGUACAGGUGCAAAAUCACAGUGUUUUGCCUAUUGAAGUUUUGCAUUUUAAUCGUUUAAGUCCAAAACAAGUUUGGUUUUAUACUUUUGUUGUAGAUAGGUUCUCACAUGUGACACACAUGUGAGUCACUUAUUCUGACCAUAAAACUUUUGUCAAGUUUGUUAGGAAGAGUGAGAAAUACAUCAGAGGUAAUACAAAUAAUUAAUACUUAUAUAAAAUGUGUAAUUAAAUUUAAUAUGACCACCACUUGUAUCAUAGUUUUUUUUUUUUUUUUAUAUACAAUGGGGCUCUAAAAAAGAGCUAAGAAAGGACUAAAUAGGGAAAACCACCCUAUACACAUCAUGAAAACAUAAAGGAAGAGAGCCGACCAAAUUUGCCACAAAGUUAGCCGAAAAGUUAGCCGAAAAGUUUGCUUCUCGAUAAAUAUGGAUGAUGGUAAUAUUCCAAUUCUGCUUGAACUCUUAGAUGGAUCGAAUGAGAGGAGAAAAUUUGUUCACCAAAUCUAAACACUUAGUAAUCAUUUGAGUCAUGUAUUAACGAUCUACUUCAACUUGCAGCCAAAGAAUUUUGGAUUGCCAAACAAUGUCCAAGCCUUGAUAGAGACCCAGACUAUCCAUUCCUCUUAGUUGCAACAUCCGUAUUAAGUUUACACCUAGGCAAAAUGGGAGGAGUCCAGCCAAUCCAUCUCUCAGUCUUCAUAAACCCCUGUUUAGAGGCGAAUUGUUAAUCUGUUGAAUUUCCUCAACCCUCAUAGUGACAUUAGUAACCAAAGCUCCACUAUUUCAAGUCACACGACUAAAAAAAAUUGGUUCGCUAAAACCAGAGUCUCCAAAUUGCUACAUUAAAGAAACACCUUUACUAUAAAACUUAUCAAUCAACCAAAAACUCUUCAAGUUUUGAUUCAUCUAAUCCCGAAGAUCAAGGUUAUAACAUUCAUGGCGAUGCGACACAUGAAUGAUUCGAUAUGGGCCUUGCCAGCUCCAAGCAAGGUUCCAAAUCUAAUCUUCUAUAUGAUUUCCAUAAGGGUUGUUAGCAUGUCAUGCAGAUUUGAUUGUAAAAAUGCCUUUAUCAGAAAAAGCCCAAAAGACUUAAUCGUUACCUCUUUGAUCCAAAGAGGAGGGAAAGCAUUUAUUCUGAGGAUGAUGUGAUUAGGGAGAAGAUGUUUGAAUUGGUCUCAUCACCAGUUCCCAUUACAAUAAGUAAAGUUAGUAGUAACAUUAUUAAGGAUAUUGUCAGGAACAAUACCAAUUGCAUGAAAGAACAAUGGUUUAUCUUUUGUAACCCAACGAUCCCACCAAAACUAAUCCCUUCUACCACCUCCUAUAUUCUAGGAAACGCCUAACCAUAUAUCCUUCCCAGCAUUCCCUAUAUCUUUUCACAAGUGAAACCCAUUUCAUGUACGUAAACUUGAAGGAAAAUUAUAGGAAUCCACGCCAUAUUUAAUUAUCAAUACUUGGGCACACAGGCUCGAAAGAGAAGAAAUAAUGCCCUAUCCCAUCUUUAUCAACUGAGCUCGGUUCAUCAUACCAGGAUUUUAAAGCCCAAACCACUACACACUUUUACCUGGCAAAUUUUAUCCCAAUUAACCAGGGUCAUUUUUGUUGAUCUGUUACAUCGCUUCAAAUGAACUUUUUACAAGCAUGCUUAACUUUUGACUUAAGUUUUGAAAGGAGAAUUUUCGUUUGCAUGGCAUAAAUGGAGAUUGCUUGAAGGAAUGACUGAGAAGUGUAGUUCUUCCAACCAGGGAAAGAUAAGAGGUCGUCCAACUAGACAAACUUUUUUCUACCUUGUCGAUGAUCUCAUAAUAAGUAAGCUUAGAGAGAGAAGGAGGGGCAUACCAAGGUAUUUACCACGAUUAUUAGUGAUAGAGUAACUAAGAACUCUUCUAAUAUUAUUAUCCUCCUUAGCAUUAAUAUUCUUUUAUAAGAAUACUUUGGUCUUGGUUCUAUUAAGCUUGGCCUUGGAACUUCUACAGAAAGUAUCAAGGGCCGAAUUGAUUACUCUCGCCUACUCACAGGAUGCCUUAGGUAGAAGCAAAAGAUUAUUAGUAAAAAGAGAUUAGUGAGGGGGGUUCCAUUACAAGUCAAGCAAAUAAGUUUCUAUUCCCCCGUGUCCACUGUAUUGCAAAUACCGUGACCUAGCCUCUCAAUACAUCAAACAAAAAUGUACGGCAAGAGGCGUCCCCCUAAUGAAUUCCCUGAUAAGGAAAAAAUUCAUUCGUCAACUCUCCAUUUCAAAGCACGACCAUUUUCAAAGCUGUGAUGCAUUCCAUAAUAAUUUGUGCAAGAUCCACUAGAUGAUUGUUUUUCUCCGCAUUGCAUGAACGAAACUUCAACUAAGACGGUCAUAGACUUUCUUCAAGUCAACUUUAACCUGCCAUGUUCCCCGUCGACUAGUUUCCUCUGUAUAGAAUGAAUAAUCUCCGGAGCUACAAUAAUAUUUUCAAUAAUAUGUCAGUCUGGUACAAAACUAGUUUGAUGGGGGCCAAUGAGCUGAGGAAUAAUGGUUUUCAACUGACUUGCCACAAUCUUAGUCACAGUUUUGUAAGCCAUAGUACACAUGCUUAUGGGACGAUACAUCCUAAGAUUAAUAGGAUUAUCAUUCUUGGAAUCAGAAUUAGCAAAGUUGAGUUAAUCUCUUUCAUGAAACGAAAAAAAGAGGGAUCAACAAUACUCCACUGAAAUUGGUAAAAAAUGGCAUGAAGGCCAUCAACUUCUGGAGCUUUUAACGGCUUCAUGCUGAAAAUAGAAUUCUUGAUUUUGGUAUCAUCAACAAGCCCUUGAAGAGUGUGAAACACAAUCUCAUCAAUAAUCGGAAAACAUCCCGUAAGAAGGUAAGUGUCUUUACUAUCUUCACAAGUAUAUAAAGAUAGAAAGAAAUGAACAACGUGUUGUUUAAUUGCCGCGUUAUCAAAUAACCACUAUGCAGAUUCAUUUGUAUUAUUGCAAUACAAUUUCUUUGUCUUCUAGCAAUAGUUUUUUGGUAGGACUUAGUAGUGUUUCAGUGCCCGUGUAAUAGCCAAGCCUUAAGCCAAAAAUUUAUUCUUGAGACAAAACUUCUUCAAGCUCUUUUUUCAAUUAAAUCUUAAGAUGAAUAAGGCUCUCAGAAUAGUUAUCUUUGAGCACUUUUUAGAUAACCCCCCAACAAGCCAAAAUCUGACGCUUUCUUAUAAAAAUGUUUCCAAAUGGUCCUUAUUCUAGAUUGAGACUUUACCAAUGAAAUAACGAGCCCUUUGAAUAUAGAAAGCACCAGAGUUCCAUGUAUCAGCAACGAGAUCAGUGAACCUAUUGUUGGUAAGCCACGUUGCAAGAAAACAAAAGGGCCUCUUACCUUACUUAUUCCUCUCCUUCCUAUUGAAAUGAACUAACACAGGUUUGUGAUCAAAAGUGACUUUCGAGAGGUGCAACACUGUAUUAUUAGCAAAAUUAUCGAACCAUUCCUCAUUAGACAUCGCCCUGUCUAGGCAUUUAAAAAGAAACUUCGAGACUAGGUAAACCUUGGUCUGUUAAAAGGAAAAUCAUAUAUCUUUUUAGAAUGAAACUAGUUGUAAAACAAACCAAAAAAUAUACUAGUAUUUACAAAACCACUUUUCUUCUCUUAAGCAUACAAGAUAGAAUUAAAAUCACCACCCAUUAGCAAAGGGCCUUGAACCGCGUUAGCAAAAUUAUCCAAAUGUUCCCAGAGGUGCUUCCUAGAGAUGGCCAAUGGAUUGAACGGCACGGGCAUGGCACGUGUUCGCACAGCACAGCACGGCACGACACUAGCACAUUUUGAUGGGGCAUGCAGCAUGGUACAGCACACAUGUGGGCUGGGCCACACUUAGAAUUUUAGGCACGUGGACUUUAAAAGCACGACAUGAUUAAAAAUGGGUUAAGCAUGACAUAAUGAAAAAGGCCGCAAUAAGCAUGUUUUAUUUUUUUAAUGAAAGUAAACUUAAAAUUUUAUGAUUUUACAAAUAACUUGAAAUUGAUUUUUUUAAAUUUAUUUAAUUCUUAGUUAAAAAAUACUAUAAUUGAUUUAUAUUUUUAAUUUAUUAAAUAAAUAAUUGAUAUCAUGAUUUUAAUGAAUAAAAUUAUAAAUAUCAUGAUUUUAUAAAUAUGCAUUAAUAUUAUUGUGAAUUAUGAUCUAUGACUUUAUGGAAGUCCAAGUUAAUAUUUAAAUUAACCCUUAAGAAAAAUUUAUUAUUAUUGUUGUUGUUGUUAAGUAUUAAAAAAAUUAUAAUACUAUAACGUCAAACUUAGUAAUUGAUAUUACAUUCUCUUACUAUUAUUAAUUUAUUAUUAUUGAAUAUGGACUUGAGUUUUGAAUUUUGAUUUUAUUAAAUGUGAAUAAAGGUAUAAGCCUAAAAAAAUAUAUAUAGACUUGAAAAAAGUACGCUAAUAGUUUCGCAUACACUUUUAAAAAUUUUUUAAAAAAGAAAAAAAUCUUAUUGGGCUUUUCUUUUCAGGCACGGCAUGACACCAGCACGAGCAUAUAUAGACCUUACUUUGAUGGGCCGAGUUAGCAUGGUACUGCCUAUUGGCCAUCUCUAGUGCUUCCUGAUAAUAGGAUAGGACUAGCGUAGAUAGCAGUGAUCCAUGACACGAAGUUGUUAUUCUUAAAAACUUUGAAGUGAAUAAAUUGUCUAUGAUUAGUAACAAUUUCUAUAUUGAAAAAGUCCUUUCAUAGGAUCCAAAUCCCCUCAGAGAAACCAGUAGCUUCAACUCUAGGGGAUUUAUCAAAGCUAUUUCUUUUAAUGAAAUCAUCUGCUUUAUACCCACUGAUUCUAGGCUCUAGUAAAACAACCAUGACCGGCUCAUAAUUCUUGAUAAGAGAACCAAAAAAGCGACAGAAGACUAGCAAUGUCGCUCCCUAGACAUUCCAAAACAUAAUUGAUAAAGACAUCUAGAUAUGUACGAUAAAAGUACGAAACACCUUAUAAUUUCGGCCCUGAGGCCUUGAUCUCCAAGUCCAUAGGUGAUUCAUCCACAAGAGACAUAUCUCCAUCAGAAGAACCAGACUCAUCAUUAUCACUUUCUCUCAUAUAAUUGUUAUCCUUCCCAUCAUCAUCCAUGUCGCUAGUGAUAAUUAAGUGCCGGUAUUAGAGGGAUCAUCGGCUAGUUUAGAUGACUUAUCAUACUGCACACCAGUUAUAUUGUCCUUAGCUUGGCCACUGGAAGAGGAAGCAGCGGAAUUAUUAUUGGUAGAGGCAACAGUGGUGAAAGGGAUAGUAGAGUGGUAUAAAGGAUUGAGACUGGUUGGGACGAUAGUUGGUACAUGCUGGCUAGUCUGGUUUAAAUGGACGUUCGUUUUGCUAUGUAAGGUGUGUGGGAGUUGUACGAGAGUAGCAUCAAUAGCAUUCGGUUGGUUGGUAGUGUUGGGGCCAUGAAUAGAAAAAUCCGCACGUAUGACAAUGCUUAGGUUGGGGGUGGAAUUUUGGCUUUUUUUUUUAAAUGUUGAUUUCUAAGGACAAGUAGAAUAGUGGUAUUAUUGGAGGUUGGCACAUUACAAUUCAUGGUAAUUGGAUAUGACUUAUUAAUGCCAUGAUUUGGGUCCUCCUCAUUGACGCUGGCAAGAAUACCAAAUCGCGAUUCCUAGCCGAAAGAUCCCCAGUGACCACGCUCAGAAUCACGACCAAGCUCUCUUGCCUUGUCAAUAUGAGGUUUCCCUUUCCUGGAAACUACCAUCCAUGGCCCAAGUUUAGGGAUACUCUGGUUAUCAUCACUGGUUUUAUUGACCAUCUGCUUGCCGAAGAUGUUCACAUGUUGAUUUAGCUCCCCUGGGUUACCAUUUUCCUCCGUAUGAUUAGGGCAAGAUUCCUUAUUAUGGUCAUAUUUUUCACUCUGGAAACAAAUAUUAGGAAGACUUUCAUAUUCCACCUUCUGAGUUUUUCCAUCCAACAAAAACUAUAAAACAAGAGGUUUUUAAGAUCAAUUUCAACUGCAAAUACAAGCGAAAUUUCCUCUUAUUGCUGACUCGAUGUUAUAAUCAAUUCUGAUAACUGAUCCAAUUAUCUAGUUGAGCAUAUGAUGAAUUUUUUAUGAUAAUAAUGUAGAGCCAUGCACAACAGGCAGAUCCAAGCUAUAAUCGAAUCAGUUUCCUCCUUAGAACUAUCAAAGUGAGGAGUUCAUGGUUGCACCGUUAAAUAGCGGCCUAAAAUUGUCCAAGGACCAAGAGUCAAAGCAAACUCGGCAUCAUCGUUUGAUUUAAAGCGGACAACAUAAAAAUCAUUCUCAAGGUCAAUGAUAGAGAAACCAAAGGUCGAGCUCCAAGUUGCUUCCAAGCGAUUGCAGAGAGCUCAAUACCCUAUGUGACGUCACAAUAGCUUGACAACAACCGUAUGCUGCGAAAGCUUGAUAAGUUGGUCGUGAAGCUUUUGGGAGAAAGAGAUGGAGUGUAAAUUACCACAUCGUGUUCUUAAAAAAUCAAUUCAUCAUCAUGGCCAAUCAAAUCUGCUUCAACUUCCCUUUGUGAUUCCAUGAGUAUAUCCUUAAAAGAGAUAUGCUCAGGGUUGUCUCUAUCCUCACGUUGAGGCCUAAAUUUUGCUUCUUUGGUAGAUCGAUCAUCAUUUAUUGGUGAACUGAAGAUUUUUACUACUUGUAUCAUAGUUUUUCAAAAUAAAUGUACUCAUAUUAUAGCAUCAUUUUCUUAUUAUAUAAUCAAAAAUAGAAUCCAUUUAUUCAUUAUAUUAAGUUGUAAAUAUAUCUUUCUAUAUGUAUUCCUAAAUUACAGUAGACUUGGAUUGCAUAGCUUAAUUAUAGGGAUCCUAGCUUAACUAUAGGAACUGGUGGUCGUGUAUAGCAAGUCAGUCGUAUGUAUAUAUAUACUCAAUCAAAUGUCAAUAAAAUUAACUCUGCCCAUUCUACUUUUCGCUCAUAUUUACAUGCUAUCAGAGCAAGGACUCGCUGCACUUUAAUCUCUCGUGUAGCAUCUCUCUUUCAACCAUCAUAACCCUUGAGGAUAUUCCUAAAACCAGCCAUUCUGAUCCACAAAAAUCAGAGAUUUUUGCAGAUUCCUCCAAGGCAGAUCUCUCCAAUCCUUUUGCACUCACCAUUUGGAUAACCCUGGAUUGAUUCUCGUCUUCAAACCUCUAAAUGGGGAUAAUUACUUUGGUUGGAUAAGGGCUAUGGUUCGAGCUUUAAACUCCAAGAAUAAGCUCAGAUUUGUCAAUGGUUCUAUCAAAGUUCCUUCAGAAGAAGUUGAUCCUGAAGGCUAUGCGACUUGGUCGAGAUGCAACGAUAUAGUUCAUUCCUGGAUUGUCAAUUCUUGCGAUCCAGAAAUAGCUGACAGUGUGACUUUUUAUUUUACUGCUCAUUAGGUUUGGAAAGAUCUUUAUGAGCGUUUCUCUCAAGUCACAUCUUUGAGAUACAACGAGAUAUUGUUUUUCUUCGACAAGAGUAACUCUCUGUCUCUACUUAUUAUACUAAGUAAAAAAGUUUUUAGGAUGAAUUGGCAACACAUUCAGACAUAGCACAAGCCAAUCGACAGAAAUUGAUGCAGUUUCUAAUGGGUCUAAACAAAACUUAUAGUGCAAUUCGAAGUCAAAUCCUGCUCAUGAAUCAUUUGCCUUUUAUUCGCCAAGCCUACUCUUCAAUCUCCCAAGAGGAUAAACUGCGCCUCCUCAGUUCAACGCAUACAAGCACCAAUUCAAGUAGCAGAGCUGCCGCCAUGGCUGUACGCAGCAAGCCGAUUCCUUCGGCAACAAGAAAAACCGAACAAACUUGCUCUCAUGGGUUCCUAGAUUCUCGCGAUCGAACAUACUCUCAAGCGUAGGAAUUUGCAGGACCUCAAGAUGGAGAUCAACGUUGAUCUGGCUCUAGGAGAGGUAGGGAUUUGUGUGACCACUGUGGAAAUUUCAGCCAUUGGAUCCAAAAAUGUUAUAAGUUGCAUGGAUACACACCGGGCCAUCUUAAAGCUAAAAUGAACUCAGGCCAAAAUUCAAAUCGGCAUAAAGGUAUUUCUAUGGCUGAUCAAGUUGGAGAGGUGUCAAACACAAAUGAAGGCUCACUUACAAUAUCUGAUGCUCAAUUCAAGCAAAAUGAACUCAGGCAUAAAGGUAUUUAUGUGGCUGAUCAAGUUAGAGAGGUGUCAAACACAAAUGAAGGCCAUCCUAAAGCUAAAAUGAACUCAGGCCAAAAUUUAAAUCGGCAUAAAGGUAUUUUUGUGGUUGAUCAAGUUGGAGAGGUGUCAAACACAAAUGAAGGCUCACUUACAACAUCUGAUGCUCAACUCAAGCAACUUUUGUCACCCCUGAAUAAUCAAAAUGAAGGUUCUCACUCUAAAGCAAAUGCGGUAACAAACCCAGGUUUGUCUAAGAUUGCUUCCCGAAAUUUGAUUAUUGAUAGCGGGGUGACAUAUCAUAUUACUUCAUCAUCUAAUUUAUUGCAUAAAGAUAACAACUGCUCGUUACCGCCCGUGUUGUUGCCUAGUGAAGAAAGAUCAAAUAAUGUUGCAAAAGGGUUUUUACCUCUCAAUUACGUCUAUUAUCUGCAUGAUGUGUUAUCUGUGUGUACAUUUAAGGUUGAUUUGAUGUCAGUUAAUCGUUUGACAAUAGGUUUGAGUUGUUCAGUGACGUUUUUCCCAUUUUUCAGGAUCUAGCUAUGAGGAGUACAAUUGGUUUAGGUAAACAACGAGAUGGGCUAUAUUUUUUAGUGGCAUUAGCGACAAAGCAAUCUGUGACAAAACCUUCCUCAUCAAACAAUCGAGCAGUCUGCAAUCUCACCAUCUCAUCUACUGACCUCUGGCAUAAUCGCUUAGGCCAUAUAUCAUAUUCUCGUUUAAGUUUUAUUGCCAAGAACUUUUUGAAUUUUUCUGUUGAGUCUAAUAAUGCAUGCCUCAUAUGUUCGUUGGCUAAGUAAAGUCGUUUUCCUUUCAAUAACAGUGUUAUUUCUUCUACAAAACCUUUUGAAAUGAUUCAUUGUGAUAUUUGGAGUCGUUAUCGACACAUUUCCAUUACCGGAGCUUAUUAUUUCCUCACUAUUGUUGAUUAUUAUAGUCGUUCCACAUGGAUUUUUUGGAUGCGACACAAAAACGAAGCACAAUGUCUUUUAAAAAGCUUCUUCAACUAUGUUUCCACUCAAUUUAACUGUUGUAUUAAAACAUUUUGAAGUGACAAUGGUAGAGAAUUUAUCUCACUUAGAUCUUUCUUUCAAGAUCAUGGUGUUGUUUUCCAAACUUCAUGCGUUUACACGCCUCAACAAAACAGGGUUGUAGAACGCAAACAUUGCCAUAUCUUACAAGUAGCCCGAGCAUUAAAAUUCCAAGCACAACUACCAACCCAAUUUUGAGGCAAAUGUGUACUCACUGCUGUACACAUCAUUAAUAGGUUACUUUCACCUGUUAUUUCCUUCAAAACUCCUUACAAACUUCUCUAUUCAAAAUUGUCUUCCUUUUUCCCAUCUUUGUGUUUUUGGGUGUUUGGCCUAUGCCACUAAUGUUCACACUUCUCACAAAUUCGACUCUCGUGCUAUAUCAUCUAUCUUCAUCAGUUAUCCCAUCGCUCCAAAGGGCUACAAAUUAUUUAAUUCAUCAACUAAAUAGAUUUUUACAAGCCGGAAUGUAAAAUUCCACGAAACCAUUUUUCCUUACUCAUCAGUCCAACCCAAAUUUUCUCUUCCCCUGACAGCCCAUCAAUCAAGCCCAAUUCAUUUAAUUACUUCCUCCCUCGACUCAUCAUUUCACUCUAACGUAAUUCCACCAAGCCUCAUUCCCUUAUCCCACCUCUCUCUCAAUUCUCCCAAUCAAAUUUUCUCUCCUCCUCCCACGGUAGCACCGCCGUCUUCCCCUUCCUAGGCCAUCCUUCGUACUUAUUUUCGUCGUCCUAAAUUUGUUGCCCCAUUAGUCUCAAAUGACCCACCUUUUUAAUUCCAAGUUCGACCAAAGGUACAUGAUAUCCACUGGCUAAUUAUAUUUCAUAUCACUGAUAUAAGCUUGCUUAUCAGUCCUUUAUUGUUCAAAUCAGUAAUCUCACUGAACUCAUGUCUUAUUUAGAAACUGCCGUUCUCCCUGAGUGGCAAGCGACCAUGCAUUCCAAAUUGCAGGAACUGCAAGAAAAUGGUACUUGGUCUUUUACCCCUCUUUUGGCUGGUAAAACUCCAAUUGGCUGUCGUUAGGUUUACAAGAUAAAAACAUAAGUUUGAUGGAUCCAUUAAACGGUAUAAGGUGCGGCUUAUAGCCAAGGGUUUCACUCAAUUAGAAGGAGUUGACUACCAGGAUACUUUUUCUGCGACAACGAAAAUAAUUUAUGUUCAUUGGUUGUUGGUGUUAGCUGCUACCCGUGGUUAGUCUCUUCAUCAACUCGACGUCAAUAAUGCCUUUCUUUAUAGUGACCUCCUAGAAGAAAUUUACAUGUCUCUCCCGCUAAGGCUUCGGCGACAGUGGGAGGAACACUUGGUUUGUCACCUCCACAAGUCAUUAUAUAGGUUUAAACAUGCAUUUUGUCAAUGGUUUCUUAAAUUCUCUGAGGCCAUACGUUCAGUCGGAUAUGUACAAUCAAAAGCUGACUACUCUCUGUUCACUAAGAAGCAAGGCAAGUCCUUUAGUGCCCUUUUGAUAUAUGUUGACGACAUUUUAAUCACUGAAAAUGAUCCUAUAAGUAUAAUCGAUAUCAAAAAAUUCAUGCAUAAUCAAUUUCACUUUAAAGAUCUAGGAGACUUGAAGUAUUUCCUUGGUAUUGAGAUUUCUGCAUCUAGGAAAGGUAUUUUUAUUUCUUAGAGAAAGUAUGCGUUGGAAAUUAUAAAGGAUGCAGGGUUAUUAGGGGCAACUCCCAUUGAUACUCCCAUGGAAUGUGGCUUAAAAUUGUUUGAUAAAAGUGAGCCACUCAAAGACCCAAGGCGAUAUAGGCGAUUAGUUGGAAGAUUAAUAUAUCUCACAGUUUUGAGGCCGGAUAUCAUGUACUCUGUCUAUAUAUUGAGCAGAUUUAUGCACCAACCCCGGAAGGAUCAUUGGGAGGUAGCCAUACGGGUUGUACGCUAUUUAAAAUCUGCUCCUGGCCAAGGCCUUUUCUUCUCCUCAAUUAGUGAUCUUUGGUUGCGAGCAUAUUGUGACUCGGACUGGGCAGGAUGCCCCCUUACAAGAAGAUCUACUACAUGGUAUUGUGUGUUCUUGGGCCCUUCGUUGAUUUUGUGGAGAUCGAAGCGACAGAAAACCGUCUCCAUUUCCUCAGCCGAAGCAUAGUAUCAUGCGAUGACUGGAUCUUUUUGUAAAUUAACAUGGCUUCAUUACUUAAUUAGAGAUUUGGGGAUUUUACAUCAAGAGGCUACAUUGCUAUAUUGUGACAAAAGGUUGCAUUACAUAUAGCAACUAAUCCAAUUUUUCAUGAGUGCACAAAGCACAUAGAGAUGGAUUGCCAUUAUACAAGAGACAAGAUACAAGAUGGUUGUGUGAUAACGAGAUUUGUGAGUUCCGCGAAUUAGCUUGCCGAUGUGCUGACCAAAGCUUUGGGAAAAGAAGUUUUCAUGCCUAUGGUUCUCAAGUUGGGAGUGCCAGACAUUCACUCUCCAACUUGAGGGAGAGUAUUGGAAAGUAGAAUCUAUUUAUUCAUUAUAGUGAGCUGUAAAUAUAUCCUUCUAUAUGUAUUCCUAAAUUACAGUAGACUUUGAUUGCAUAGCUUAAUUAUAAGGAUCCUAUCUUAACUAUAGGAACUGAUUGUCGUGUUUAGCAAGUCAGUCGUAUGUGUAUAUAUACUCAAUCAAAUGUCAAUAAAAUUAAUUCUGCCCAUUUUACUUUUCUCUCAUAUUUGCAUUAUAUAGUUGAUAUAAUACUUUUGAUAUAUUUUAAAAUUUCUCUAGCCUAGCUUUUGGCAUAACUUCAAGGAUAGAUUUGUGAAUUUAGAAAGAGAAUUAGAAAGGGGUUUCUUCUUGUAAAUUGUUCUUUCUAAAGUUUUUAACAAUAAAGAAAUAAACAUAUUUUUAGUUGGAAUUAAGCAACUAGGAGGUUGAACGAUCAAAAUCUGUGUGUACUCAUCUUUUUAUUUUGAUCUGUUUCUUUUAUUAUUCUUGCUUCGAUUCUUGUGAGCGUCAUCUUGAUCCUGGGGUGUUUAAUUUGUAUUGUAAAUAUAGAUUCAAACCCAACAUCAAAGAGAAAGGCCCUUUUUUAUUUUGGGUUGUUAUUCCCUGCUUUGUUUAUAAUCAAAACAAUAAGUCCUUUUGAUGCUUCAAACACUAGGCCAAGUUCUAUUAACUGUAGUGCUGCUGGGUGACCGAGGCUUCCUAGACAAACAUAGACUAGAGAAUCGACAUCUUGUAAAUCAUGCCACUAUAAACAUUUCGUCCUGUGCACCAAAUUUUAUCCCCUCGUACGUUUCAAAAUUUUUUUGACAUAGGCUUUUCCAAUUCCUCAAAUGUUUUCACCUAACCCUAAUGUCUUUCUGAAAUUCUUUCGUAUCUCUAAUGAUCCCACAUUGACAACACUAGGUAGCUGAGCUAGAUGUGGGCAUUAACAUAAAGUGGCCUUGUGCCAGACGUAAGAGCAAGACAAAUCCAUGCAGAAGGUUUACAGAGGCCAUGUGGAAGAGAGUUUAGUUUCUGCAAAGGUGAAGCUAAUAUGUCUUUGAGAAUUUCAGGUUGAGUGUCUAUCUUUUGUUACGUAUGACGUCAUGAGGAAAAGUUCCUUAUAACUCAGACUAAUUGUCCUUUAUUUUUUCUUCGUUGGUCUACAGCUCUAAAUUGCUUGAUACAAGUAUGACUGAAGCGCUGUUGAUAACUUAUUUUGCAGAACAUAAUAUAUUGAAUAAUCUUUGGUUUAAUGCAAAAUAAUUAGUUUUCUAUCAUACUGCUUAAGCUGGACGACUAUUUUAGAACAUAUGAAAUAAAUUACAUGUUAUAUUUUGCCAUUACAUGAUAGUUAAAGGAAUUUCCUUUAAAAAAAUUCAAGUACAUGGUAGAAUAUUAAGUCAUUCUUUGUAUUAUUAUUAAGGGAAAUUAUCCACUGUCUACCCUUUUUUUACUGUUUUUAAAAAAUACAUAAAUCUUUUUUUUUCCAGCACUCCACCUGAAGUUAACAUUUUUUUCAUUAGUCCACACUCGUUAUAAUACCGUUAGAACUUUGUUGACAUCAUAAGGGUAAAAUUGUCAUUUUAUAACGACAAAGUAUUGGAAAGGUGCAAAACAAUAUAACUUCAAGUGGAGUUUAACAAAAAAAAUAUUAAGUAUUGUGUAUUUUUGAAAAAAUACGAAAAAAAUAUGGUUGGUGGAUAAUUUAUCUUUUACAUUUAAGGGUAAAAAAGUCAUUUAUACAAUAUUUCGUUAGUUUUCUUAACGGUCUCCAAACGGAAGUGGAAAAGUGAAAAAAAAUGUAAGUUCAGAUGGAUUCCAGAAAAAAGUUGGAAAAAAUAGGUGGACGAUGGAUAAUUUCCCUAUUAUUAAUCUAGCGCUAGACAUGGUAGAAUAUUAAGUACAUUCGACAAAACACUUAUUAAUAAAAUUAUAUCAUAAGUUAAUAUUUGCAGUAUGAGAAUUAUUAUAAAUCAAGUAUUUAAUUAUCAAUAACAAUUUAUCCACCAUUGUAAUUACAAUUAAAAUGAUAAUUACAAUCACAAUUAAAAUAAUGUUUACAAUUACAAUUAUGAUAACAAUUACAACUGCAAUUGUAAUUCGUAAUUAUAAUUAUAACAUUAUAUACAAACUGCAACUGUAAUAAUUAUUGUAAUUGUAAUUGUAAUUACGAAUACAAUUGUCAAUGUAAUUCCAAUUCCAAUUACAAUAGUUGUAAUUGUAAUAAUCUUUAUAAUUAUUAUUUUAUUUGUAAUUGUCAUUGUAAGAGUUGUCGUAAUUAAAAAUGUAAUUAGUGAGUGUCAACUAGUUUAGAUAUUAAAAUCUUUUGUAUUGGAAUUUGGAAAUAAAAGGCCUGAGUUCAAACCGUGCUAACAUGGGGUGAGAGGGGAUUGGUUUGUCAUUAGUUGAGAUGUAAAAUCUCUUGUGUUGAAAAUAACAGGAUUGGAGGUUUGAAUUUCGUUCACAUGAAUGGAGAGGAGAUUGGAUUGUCAUUAGGCUAAACAAUUAAAAAAAAAAUUGUAACUAAAAUUAUUGUUGUUGAUGUCAAAAUUUGGAUUAGUUAGUUACUGACUGGAUACCAAAUCUCUGUGUCAGCAUUAUAUUUAUUUGUUGGGGAAGUGGCUUAUGAUCACUAGCAGAUAACUCGUAAACACUUGAAAUCACAAAGAAUGGUAAGAGGCGGUAGAGGUUUUUCUAGCGUGAACCCUCUGACACCUAAGUCAGUUAUCAGGUUUGCAAGAAAGAUAAAAUAUGUAAUUUCUAGUUUUUUAUGAAUAAAUAAUCUUAAGUAAAUGGAAUAGAAAAAUCAAAACUGAGAAAGAAAAUUGAACCUCCUCUUCAUUUGGAUUUUUUUGGACUUCUAUAAGCAUAUGGAAUUAUUGCACCAUCUUUAAUGCGUUGGCGUUACUAGGUUGAAUGUGUCGCUUAAAUCAUGAGUUACUACGAGCGUUACAAAGUAAUUAUUGAGCUGCAAUUAUAGUAGCUAGGCGUGCGUGGACAUUAUGCCUGACUUUUCGAAAGGAACCCGUCACUAAAACUUAAUUGGAAUCUUUGGACUGACCAGAUUCUGGUCUCCUCAAACCCAUCUGCUCGAGGUUACUAGAUUACCUCUUGGUGGAGAAGGUCUGCUCAAGGUCACUAGAAUCACCCCUCGGUCGAGGCGGUCUGCUCAUGGUAUUAAGAAUUACCUCCUGGUCAAGGUGGUCUGUUUGAGAUCAUCAAGAUUACCAUCUGGUCAAUGUAAUCUGCUCGAUGUUACUAAAUAAUAUCAUGGUUGAGAUCAUCAAAAUUACCACCUGAUUGAGGUUGUCUGCUCGAGGUCACCAGAAUUUUCUCCUAGUAGUCUAUCAACUAUUUGCUCACUCUUUACCUCGUUGAGAUCAUGAUCACUCUAUUUUAUUCCCCAAACAAUUGUUGUUGUAAUUAAAUUAUUAUUUGCUACAAAAUGACUAUUAGGAAGUGAUAUAAGGUAGCUCACAUUGUAAGAAAAAAUAAACCAGGUAGAUUCCCGAGAAAUAUUAGAGGGUUACAAAUGGUCCUACUUAAAAUUUAGAUUCUUUAAACAAUGUAUGAUACUAUGAUGAAGUAUUGUGAAGCUGCUUAACCAAAUCUUUUAACCAACACUCUCCAAGAUCCUCGAUUAGAAUCAACAAGAUGCUUAAGAGAUGAUAUGAAUUGCUAAUAAAGAAUCUAUGUAUGAACAAGAUGGUGACUAAUUCAAAAACGAUCAAAGAAUUAGCCAACAAAUCAAAGAAUCGUAAAACAAAGCUAUUAACGUGGUUCAGUCAAUUUGCAUUGACCUACAUCCAUGAGGGACCAAGAACGCCUCUCUCAAACAAGCUAUCUCUCUCUCUAUCUCUCACACCGGAAUUAGUCGUAUAAAUAGUUUUAACGAACCCAUAAACUUUUCCAGAAACGCAUGUGUUUACCACGUGAAUUAACGGCGUCAUAACAACUUUUGCAAAUCACGUGCGUUGCACAAGCUUCAUUAAACUAAAAACGGCAAAGCUUCUGGUCGUUUAAGCUAGCAAACUUAAUGCACAUCAAAACAUAGAUCUUGCAUGUCGUUUUGCCUUCGUCAUGGACAUACCAAAAACGCAAAUCACCUCUGUCGUUUUGAUCUCUUUAAUUUGCUUCAUGGAUAUAUGACCUUUAUGAUAAAACCUUUGUAAACUAUCUGAGCUUACUAAUUGAUAUAGCAUAUAUUAUUAAUUAUAAAUUACAAUACUAUGUGAUAAUAAAUAUAAAAACAUAAAUAUGAGGCUUGGAAAGGUACAAUGUUUUUAAAAAAGAUUCACUACCUUUUCAACAAUACUUAGGUUAUAUUGGUGUCUGACUGCCUAUCUUCUAGGAUGAUUGAAUUUAGAUCAUCUCAAUAUUACAAUUUUACAAUUUUAGCGAACUUCAAAUAAGUAUUCCAUUAAGUGUUUGAAUUUUAUCACAAGCGCUAGAGAGAAUUUGUUUUAGAGGGAGGAGGAAAAAUCACUUUGACUAAAGCAUUACAGAAAUGAGGUCUCUCCAGAGAUUUAUAAGAGAUGGGGUUUCCUCCAGAGCCCGCAAUAAGCGCCUAUGACACUUCCGGUUCCAUCAGAAACUCUUCUAAACCCGCAAUUGGGAUGUUCAUCAUGUCGAUGUUGUCUUUCAAAGACAGAGAGGCUGCUGCUGCCGACGUACUAUUAAUUAUUUAUAUGUUGCUGAAUAAUAAAAUUACUACUAGUGUUGAAGAGAAACCAACAAAGACAAAAUGGUUGGCUUGUGGUCAUGAUCAAUGGAUUAAAUGAUUUCUUUCUUAAUCCUAUAUUCCUAUGUAUGUAUGGGUCGUCAGUUUCUGUAGAAGUACUAAAAAAAUAACUUGCGUUAGAAAAAAAUAAAUAAAUAAAGAGAUAAUUAAUGGAUAAUAAAUGAAUGGCUUAAAACUGUUUUUGUCCUUCAAUUGACUAGGAUCAUAGACUUCAUUUUCGGUCAAUAACCCUUAUUAAUAGUAUGGUGAGAAAUUUUAAAAUAUCUUUGAAGUAUCACGUCAGUUAUAUAUAUAAUAAGUAAAUAAUAUUAUAAUAUAUUUAUCUGCUUUAUAAUAUGUAUAUUUAUUUUUAAAAAAUUAAUAUAUAAUUAUUAUUAUUAUUAUUACCUCAAAUAUAUUCUAAAAAAUACAAAUUAACUGCCGACCCAUACGAUCAAUCAAGUUGUAACUAGUUAGCUACAUAGCUAGUGACAUAUGGUGGACCUCUCGAUUGUCGCUGUGAUUGCCAUGAUCAGCACAAUUCACGCAUAAUGUUGUGGUGGGACAUAAUAACUGACUUGCUCAAGUCGUCGCGGGUGGCAGCGUUCAACUUUUCAAAGUCUUGUGCAGAAAACAUACGAAAGCAUUUGUUUGCAACAGUUGACUUUGUUUUGUUCUUAGAGCUAACUAACAAAUAGAACCGCGCGGCUUUGAAAAAAUAAUUUAAUAUUAUUCUUUUUUUAUUCUAUUUUUAACGAUUAUUCUAUUUGAUUAAGAGGAAAUACUUAAAAAAAUGAAAAAAUAAAGUAAAGUUAAAACCAAAAAUACUUUUUUAAUUAUUUAAAAUUACAUUAGCUAAAUUAACACCACAUAAAUAAAAGUGCCAUAGAUGCACCUUAUCUAAGCCAAAACUUAAAAAUCUAAGGCUGAUAUAUCAUUGCGAGGCCACUUGGAGAAGGAGCAGAAGAUGCAUCACAGUAGCCUCUCACUAUGUUCCCUUCUUCGACAGUGAAUCCGAGAGAGGUGAGCAUUGCAAGCCAGCAAUUACGGGUGAUAAUAUCAAUAGUGUGGCAACAGUCAGGGCUAAUAUCAGCCUGGACAUUAAGGAAUAAUAUAAUAAUCUCAUUUGAGCAUGAUUUCAGCUCCAUUAACGCGUUCUAGUACUUUGUUAGGCCUCCGCUAGCUUCAAGUCUUGUUGCAAGAUCGUAGUCUGGUUUCAUAUUGUUGUUGAGGCGAUCAUUCUUGCUGGUUGCAUUUGCAAUAUUUGUCAUGAUGAGGCAAGUGAAGGCCAAAAUGAAAAACACAUGUUUUAGAGCCAUUGCUAUUUUCUGUUCUUUUAUGUUGUGUUUAUAUUUAUGUAGGAUAUCAUAUUUUUUGUUGCUAUUUAUAAAUUAAGGUGAGGCAGAUGAGAAGAGUGAUUAAAUUAUUGCUUAAUUUAUAAUCAAGAAGGUUUCAAUUAGAGAAGAUAGUAAGUUUUUUGAUGAAUUGUUACGUAUUGAUUGUGUAAUAACAAUCAAAUUAAUUAUGAGAAGAUGAAAAAUCAAAUUUGAAAGAAAAUUUCCCUAUUUAUUAGAUAAUAAAUAAUAUACAAAGAUGAUAAAUGGUGAUGCCACAUCACCUCUUAUAGUCCAAACUUUAUAUAAAUAUAUAGAUUAUACUAUAAGCUUUCCAAUUCGACUAGAAUUGCUUAGCAAGCCUGUUUUAAAAAGUUCAAUUUAAGUCACCGGCAAAAUAAUUUUGUAACGAUUUCCAAUUUUGUUCUUAUCUUCAUUUUGGGACCGCCUAAGUUACAAUUAAUGUAACUUACAGCCAGCCUGUAAAAAUUCACCAAGCCCCCUACACUCUAUGUUAUUUAUAAUUUACUCGUAAGUAUUAUAAAAUUUUUUGUAUUGUAAUAUUUCGUUUAACCCCUUACACUUAAUUUUAUUUUAUUAAAACCCAAGAGUAGAAUUCGCCCCCUAUAAUUUUAAAUUUCCAAAAUAACCUCCAGUUUUAUAGCAAUUGGUUAUAAUUUAACUCAUUUUGAUUUUGAUUCUAAGGCAAAGUAAACAAUAAAUGGUAAUAAAGCUCAUUUUAAUUACGAUUCCUGCAGUUCAACUGCUGUACCGUACAUCCGCCUUGGCCGUACAGCAGCAAGGUAGGCUUUCAUGAAGAAGCGAAAAAGAGCUUUUCUUGCAAACUCUUGGAUGGCGAAGACAAAUUUAGCCGGAAACAAAAUGAAUUACAAUCAGAAAAGUUAGAAUCAAAAUGACUUUAAUUAUUGUUAUUAUCAUUCAAAAAUUAAUUAUUAAUAAUAAUUAUCGUUAAUUAUUAUUAUUAUUAACAAUUUAACAAAAAAAUAUUAUUAAUUAUUGUUAAUAGAUUAAUUAAUUAUAAUACUUUUUAUUCUUGUUAAUUAUAAUAAUUUAUUUAAAAAAUAUAAUUAUAUUUAUGAUUAUAAUAAAAUAAUAGUUAUUAAUUAAAUGGAAGUUAUUUUAGAAAUUUAAAAUUAUAGGGGAUAAAUUCGUACUUUAGGAUCUCAAUAAAAUAAAAUUGAGUAUAAGAGGCUAAACAAAAUUUUAUAAUUCAGAAAGUUUUAUAAUACUUAUGAAUAAGAUAUAAAUAAUAUAUAAGGGGCGGGAUGAAACUUUACAAACUGGCCGUAACUGUAACUUAGGCGGACCCCUUCAUUGAUUGUACUUUGAAUGGAAAUUCUUUCACACGUUCUGGCCUUUAUUGUUUGUUUUGUCUCCAUCCAUGGAAUUUCCUCCUUGGAAAUGAAUGAUAACCAAUAUCCGGUGGCCCUUCAGAUUUACAAAGACUUGCAUAUGCAAUUGCUACGAAUUAAUUAAUCGUUAUAUCUUUUUUUUUUUUUUCAAUUUUAAUUAAGUGGUUUCAUCACACAGUAUUUAACUCAAUUGAAGAUUCUUCAAUGGCCUAAAAUGAUUAUAUUUGUUUUUAAAACAAUAAUUUGGGUUGUACCCAAUUAUGAUCUAGAUGAUUGUUGUAGAAUCAGACAGAAAAUCUCUCAUCAUGAUUAAUUCUCUCCAAUGAAAAAAAUUUAAAGAAUAUACAAUUUAAAGUAAAACCCAACUAGAUAUCGAGAGACAAAUUAAUUUAAACAAUUAUAUGUAUUCAGCUCGUCACAAAAUUGAUUAAUUAAAACUAUCCUGUAAUGUAUGGAAUAUGGUCACUUUUGGUAUGCAACUCCCUCAGUAGGAUGCAUAACUGUUUAAUAGGUUAUUUUGUUAAUGGAUGAUAAGGUCUGUACCAUAACAGAUCUAUCGAUUAUAUAUAUAUAUUAUUAGUGCUUUUUCAUUGAUAAAAAGCUUAAGAAUAUUAUAACAAAGAAUUAAACUCAGAUACAUUCUGAAUUCAAUUCAAUUACAAAUAAGAUGCAAGAAAAGGAAAAUCUAAGGUAGCACUUAAGGAGGCUAAUAUGAUUUAGCAAUAUCUGAUCAUCAUGUAUCAUCUCCCUUUCGGAUUCAGGAUCUCAGAGAACACAGCUCCAGUAUACUUAUCAGAACUUCCAGUAGAAAGACUUUGAUCAUCAGUAGCAGUAGUAGUUGAUAUGGUAACCGCACUAAUGGUUUUUGAAUCUGAAAGUACAUGGUUUCCAACACUAGAGAACACGGAACCACUACCAUCGGUUUCGUAGUUGUCCAAAAUUUUUUCUUCCUCCUCAUUCUCAUCAAUCUCCUUUGCAAUUGCAAUACUACUUUCCUGCAGCUGCAAUGCGAACUCAAGUCCCCAAACCACAUCGCUCAUCGAGGGCCGUCUGAUUCCUUCGUCAUUCAAGCUGCUCAUCGCUACCUCAGCAAAUUUGUUCAAGCACUCUGGCUUUAUCUUACCCUUCAAGAAUGGAUCAACAAUCUGAUCAAUUGUUCCAUUUUGAUAACAUUGUUGUGCCCAAACAGCUAAACUCACUUGUUUCUUAUCUGCUGUCCGCAGAAUAGGUGGCCGAGCACACAAUACUUCGAACAACACAACACCGAAUGAGUAGACGUCAGAUUUCUCAGUAAGCUGCUGAAGUCGGUAGUACUCAGGAUCUAAGUAUCCGACGCUGCCCUUAACAACUGUACUCACAUGAGUUUUGGACACCGAAGUUGAUCCAAAUUUGGAGAGUCCGAAGUCGGAAACCUUGGCCACCCAUUUCUCGUCCAACAAGAUGUUGGUUGUCUUCACAUCACGAUGAAUGAUAACAGCAUGGUUUGCCCCAGUAUGCAAAUAGUGAAGCCCACGAGCUGCACCAAUGCAGAUUUCAAGCCUUUGAUUCCAUGGAAGAGGGGGACUGUCGCUAUGGUAGAGAUGAUCACGUAGGGUCCCACGAGCCAUGAAAUCGUAUACAAGGAUCAUCUCCCUGUCAUCGUUGCAAAAGCCUAUCAGAGGGACUAAAUGAAGAUGCCGGAGCUGCGAGAGCAUUCCUAUCUCAGUUUGGAAUUCCAGGGCACCCUGUUGCGACUCUGGUUCCAGUCGUUUAAUGGCAACAGGGGUAGUGCUGCCAUUGAUGAAGCCUUUGUAGACAUUACCAAACCCUCCAACUCCAAUUACGAGUUCAUUGUCGAAGUUGUUUGUAGCCGCUUGGAUUUCAGAUAGUGAAAAUUGGGUGCAAAGAUCGGAAGGAAGGAAUGAGCCGCGUGAUGACUUGGUUGCCUUGAUAGUCUUAGAAGAAAUAAAAGUCCCCAAAAGUGAAGUACCUGUACCGGAACCCGAGUCCUUGACUUUUCUUCCUCGCCAGAAAAUUAACAACAAUAGAAGAGAUAGCACACCAAAGCCUGAUAUAACACCAGCAACCAUCCCGGUUACAUUAUUCUUCUUAGUCGGUUCUAUUGUUGGAGACGCAUCCAAAUUAGGUGGGAUCGUCCGAGGCUCAGGAUUAGGUCCAGCGAGAUUUCCAGUGUUGUCCACUUUAAAGAUUUCAAGGCCGUUCAAGAUAGCAUCAGAGUAUUUGGUCCUCCAUCUGGGGGCAGGGUGCAGUUGAAUAGAAAGAUUCUGCUUAAUAUUUUCUUCAUUUGGUUUUGGUCCUAUCGUCACAGCAUAAUCUCUAUAUACGGCAACACCAUUCGCACCAGUCCAGGCUAUCACAUCUGCUUGAACUUCAGCAGUUAAAUUAGCAAUGAAGAUCUGGAACACCCUAUUGCCCUCUUCAGUUACCUCUAUCUGAAACUCACAAAAAUGAAGCCUCAGAAAAUAUGUAAAGCCCGAAUCCACUUCGAACUCCCAAGUGAGAUUAUACUUCUCGUUGAUUUCCCUAUCCUGCCCCAUCGUCCUGGCGGUUUUGUAGACCAGAUCUGGAGCAGAGUAAUUACGUAUCCAAGUGAGAUGAAUACUCUGGUUAACGGGAAGAGCACUUGGUCUGGCAUCUGUCAAGUAGGGGUCGUCCAUUUCCCAAGUUCGGUACAUGCCGCCGGUGUCGUCUGACGGUGAUAUUUGUUUCCCGCCGACGUUUAUCCGGUAUAAAGUCGCCAGAGCAUUUAUGUUUAAGAUACUGUAUGGGUUGUCCUGGCCAACAAACCUGAACCCCCCGCCGGGAUCAUCGGCCGCGGUGUAAUAGAAAUUGAGGGGCAUGGAUACAAUCUCAAUUCCAUUGAUAAAAGCAUAUGAAUCGUUGUAAUCCGGACUUGGAGUGAAGGUUAUGUUCAAAAGCCUCUGAUCGUCUUCGAUGUUAAUGCAGAAUUCUUUGAAAAAGGGACUGCGGUCGUUGCCAUAUGCUGCAAGUGAAGCGCUAAAGUUUCUUAACAGAGUGAAAGAAGCUGCUUUUACAGAGAAGAAAGCUGCAGAGGUAUUGAACCCCGGUUUUGGACUUGGAUAGAAAUGCAGGCGGAUGAACUUUUGACCGGCGGUGACGUUGAAUAUGUAGGUGAAUUGCGAAUGAGAAACACGUGAUUUUGAAUAUGGGACUUGUUUAUUUUCAGUGACGAUUGUUGAUUUGGGAGCGGAUGCGUCUUCAUGUGGGGAGUAUUGAGAGUUGACAUCUCCAACCCAAGUCUGGCCGGGAGGACCCGUGUUGCCCAACCAGCCACAAGCAAGAAAUAUGUUGCUUUCUGCUAGAGGGUAAUUAGAGUCACCGGUGACGACAACAGCUAGAUGAUGGCAGGAGAAGAAGAAAAAGAAGAAGUGGAAGAUUUUUCUGUAUGUCUCCAUUAAUUUUUUGACAAUUAAUUAAUAGGCAGGCUGCGGCUAUAGCUUUGAUUUUUCGGAUAGCUAGACAUUUAAAGGUAGCAAAUUUUGUAGCAAUAUGUCCGUCUCUGUCAGUUGGGACCACAGGCGCCUUGGCGUUUCGGGCAUGACAAUCAAAAUGAUGGAAAAAUUAAGUCUUCGUCAACUUCUUAGUCUUUGCCCUUUGGCAUCAGUCCAAUCUACUAUCACCCGUAAGGCACUUUCCAUGGCUACUAUUAAUAGACUUGUUUUGAAAUACAAACUUAUAUACAAACAUACACUGAAACUUCGUUGUAACCACAGAUCAAUCAAUUGGAUUCCAUAAUUAAAUAUACACUUCACAACAAAUCUAGAUUGGACUUGAAUGUUAAAUUAGUGUUCGGUCACUAAAUUAAAAAAAUCUUGGUCCAUAAUUGGUUAUUUUAGAAAUACAACAUGUUUAGCAGUUUAUCGAAAAGUUGAACUAAUUAUAUUAGUGCUGCAUUUACUAAUUAGUCAUCGGAAUAGACUAGAAUUGAAAUGAGCUUGAAAUUGAAAUGGCCUAGAAUCAGAAUCAGAAAAAAAAAAUUAAAAUAAGUUAUUUUUUUGAAUUGUAGGAAUUGGAAUCGGAAUGGAAAUAAAAUUUAUUUCCAUUGACGUGUUUAUUUUGUCUUGAAAUUGGAAUAAAAAAUACCAUUUUUUAAUUAUUGUUAAUUGAUGAUUAAUAAUAAUAAUAAUAAUAAUAAUAGUAAUAAUAAUAAUAAUAAUAAUAAUAAUAAUAUUAUUAUUAUUAUUAUAAGCUUAAGUUGCAAAAAUAGCCUAUCCAGUUUCUAUUGUUAUUAUUAUUAUUAUAAGCUUAAGUUGCAAAAAUAGCCUAUCCAGUUUCUAUUGUUAUUAUUAUUAUUAUAAGCUUAAGUUGCAAAAAUAGCCUAUCCAGUUUCUAUUGUUAUUAUUAUUAUUAUAAGCUUAAGUUGCAAAAAUAGCCUAUCCAGUUUCUAUUGUUAUUAUUAUUAUUAUAAGCUUAAGUUGCAAAAAUAGCCUAUCCAGUUUCUAUUGUUAUUAUUAUUAUUAUAAGCUUAAGUUGCAAAAAUAGCCUAUCCAGUUUCUAUUGUUUCUAUUCUAUUGUAAGAAAAUAUCUUGGGCAUUACACUUUUCUAUUUUUUUUGGCUUAUUUCAUUGAUAAAUUUAAUUUAAAUGGAGAUAAACUUGAAAAUUCUAACUAACUAUAGAAUAGAUAAGCCUGAUUUACAACUCACAUGUUCUCUCCUCUUAUUCUGCUCUUCAUUAAUUUUUGUAGGUUUUUGUGACUUUAUUUAUAUAUAGUCGAGAAUCCAAAUAGUAUGAUUAAAAUAAAAAAUCGAUUAGAAGACAGGUUGGCUUCCAAUUAGGUCAGAACAGGGAAAAAAAAAAAAACUUACCGAUCACUAUUUUACGGGUGAGUUCAUGAGGAAAAUAAUUAGGAGUUGCUUUCUAUUGACCACCGGGACUUGCACGGCUGCUUGACUUGUACAAUUACUGUUGUUGAAUUUGCACGACCAUCGUUAGCAUGCUAGAAUUAGAUUGGAUUAUAUUUGCUUGUGUCUUAUAUUUUGUAUAGUAUAAGAUUAAAUUGGAUUAUAAAAGUAAUAUGUUAUUGGAUAUUAAAAUCACUUACAUAUUUAUUUAGAAAUAGGGCUACUUACAUUUAAAAAAUUAUUCUGAACACACUAAUUUUAAUAAAAGUAUAUAUUUAAAAAAUAAAUUAAAUGCCUAUAAAUGCCUCUAUAAAGAACAUAUAUUAAUUCAUUCACCUGCUCCCUCCCACCCGCCUUAAUUAAUUAUCAAGGCAACACCAGUCUCUGUCCAACGAGUCACUUAUUCCAAUUAAAGUGGUAUCCUUUUCUUUUGUGAGACUAGAACCAUGUACUUUAAUGUUCACAUUGGUGUUGCCCAUACGCCAAACAUAUCAUCAAGCUUAGCUAAUUAUUACUCGAAAUCAAUAAUUAAAUGAGGAUGGAAACCUUAUCCAUUAAACAUUAAUCUUUGUCCCUUAUUAUUAUUUAAACUCGGGUAACAAUAAUGUAAAGUGCAUAUUUAAUUAUGACCAAUUCAGCUAAGCCUAAGUAAUAUAUGUCAAUAAUGUAGUGUCUAGUGUCAUAGAUUAAACUUGAACCAUCUCAUAACUAGGACAAGGAUCCUCUCUCUCUCUCUCUUUUUCCUUUUUUUAGUCUUAUAUCCUCUCCUAGUUUAAUGAAUAGCUAAGAAUGAGUUUGGAAUUUUAAUGUUGACAAUUAAGUUGAUUUUUUUUUUCAACUUAUUUAUAAUUAUGUCAACUCUUUUCACUAAAUUUAAAAAAACUAGAAAAAGCUAGGAGAAAAAAAAUAUUAAAAGAAGAUCCUAAUCCCACAAGUUAAACUCAAACCAUGCAGUACUUAAUUUUGAUGAGUGAAAAUUUGAGUUUUGAAUUUUGAUGUUGACAAACUUUAAAACCAUGCAACACUAGUGCAAAGCAUGGCGAAUGAUAGCGCUCACUAAGCUUGAAAAGCCCAAUAAAUUGUAUAAAAGAGCAUAUUGAGCACUGGGGAUUGGAGCUUUUGGUGACUUGACUCAAAUGAAGCCAGUUCUUUGUAAAUGGAGAAAUUACAUAUGUACAAGUUAUAAUAAGACUCAAUUAUAUCAAAGCAGAUUAGAUAGGAUAAGUUUGGAAUAUUUAUAAUUACAAUUGACCUAUACCUAGUAAGAGUGUAGAUCAUAAUUAUGAAACUCUACGACAAAUGUACAUAUCUAUUGAAAUAUGGAUCUUGAUGGAUUAAGCAUGCAUCUCCUACUCCUCUCCUAUAAAGAGGUUUUAAUACAUUUACAACUGGAGGCAACAUGCCCACUGCUAGAGUUAUCACAUCGGUAUCGUUAGAUUAGCAAUUUUGUUUAUGAUUUUAUCUAAUAGUAAUUUGUCGUUUUGUUUUUGGUUUCAAAUGGGCUCUUAAACAGUGCUAAAUAGUAACUAGGUGGGGGUAUGAAACGCCAUACAUAUCAUGCAUGAGAAAAGGAAAAACACCAACUGAAGGAUAGUUGAGAAUGUGAAGACCCAAGGGGAGAGAUAGGGCAUAGCUUGCAAUGAAAUCUAUCAUAAAAUUUGCUUUGCGAUAAACAUGGAUAACGGUGAUAUGCUAGUCACGUCGCAGGAGAUCCUUUAUAAAUCGAACUAACGGGAUGUAUUCAUUAGUAGAACACAAACGAUUACCAACCAGUUGAGUCACACAUAAGCUAUCCAAUUCCACAUUCAACCAGCAAAUACCUUUUUGCCAAAAUUAUUAUUAUUAUUAUUAUUAUUAUUAUUAUUAUUAUUAUUAUUAUUAUUAUUAUUAUUAUUAUUAUUAUUAUUAUUAUUAUUAUUAUUAUUAUUAUUAUUAUUAUUAUUAUUAUUAUUAUUAUUAUUAUUAUUAUUAUUAUUAUUAUUAUUAUUAUUAUUAUUAUUAUUAUUAUUAUUAUUAUUAUUAUUAUUAUUAUUAUUAUUAUUAUUAUUAUUAUUAUUAUUAUUAUUAUUAUUAUUAUUAUUAUUAUUAUUAUUAUUAUUAUUAUUAUUAUUAUUAUUAUUAUUAUUAUUAUUAUUAUUAUUAUUAUUAUUAUUAUUAUUAUUAUUAUUAUUAUUAUUAUUAUUAUUAUUAUUAUUAUUAUUAUUAUUAUUAUUAUUAUUAUUAUUAUUAUUAUUAUUAUUAUUAUUAUUAUUAUUAUUAUUAUUAUUAUUAUUAUUAUUAUUAUUAUUAUUAUUAUUAUUAUUAUUAUUAUUAUUAUUAUUAUUAUUAUUAUUAUUAUUAUUAUUAUUAUUAUUAUUAUUAUUAUUAUUAUUAUUAUUAUUAUUAUUAUUAUUAUUAUUAUUAUUAUUAUUAUUAUUAUUAUUAUUAUUAUUAUUAUUAUUAUUAUUAUUAUUAUUAUUAUUAUUAUUAUUAUUAUUAUUAUUAUUAUUAUUAUUAUUAUUAUUAUUAUUAUUAUUAUUAUUAUUAUUAUUAUUAUUAUUAUUAUUAUUAUUAUUAUUAUUAUUAUUAUUAUUAUUAUUAUUAUUAUUAUUAUUAUUAUUAUUAUUAUUAUUAUUAUUAUUAUUAUUAUUAUUAUUAUUAUUAUUAUUAUUAUUAUUAUUAUUAUUAUUAUUAUUAUUAUUAUUAUUAUUAUUAUUAUUAUUAUUAUUAUUAUUAUUAUUAUUAUUAUUAUUAUUAUUAUUAUUAUUAUUAUUAUUAUUAUUAUUAUUAUUAUUAUUAUUAUUAUUAUUAUUAUUAUUAUUAUUAUUAUUAUUAUUAUUAUUAUUAUUAUUAUUAUUAUUAUUAUUAUUAUUAUUAUUAUUAUUAUUAUUAUUAUUAUUAUUAUUAUUAUUAUUAUUAUUAUUAUUAUUAUUAUUAUUAUUAUUAUUAUUAUUAUUAUUAUUAUUAUUAUUAUUAUUAUUAUUAUUAUUAUUAUUAUUAUUAUUAUUAUUAUUAUUAUUAUUAUUAUUAUUAUUAUUAUUAUUAUUAUUAUUAUUAUUAUUAUUAUUAUUAUUAUUAUUAUUAUUAUUAUUAUUAUUAUUAUUAUUAUUAUUAUUAUUAUUAUUAUUAUUAUUAUUAUUAUUAUUAUUAUUAUUAUUAUUAUUAUUAUUAUUAUUAUUAUUAUUAUUAUUAUUAUUAUUAUUAUUAUUAUUAUUAUUAUUAUUAUUAUUAUUAUUAUUAUUAUUAUUAUUAUUAUUAUUAUUAUUAUUAUUAUUAUUAUUAUUAUUAUUAUUAUUAUUAUUAUUAUUAUUAUUAUUAUUAUUAUUAUUAUUAUUAUUAUUAUUAUUAUUAUUAUUAUUAUUAUUAUUAUUAUUAUUAUUAUUAUUAUUAUUAUUAUUAUUAUUAUUAUUAUUAUUAUUAUUAUUAUUAUUAUUAUUAUUAUUAUUAUUAUUAUUAUUAUUAUUAUUAUUAUUAUUAUUAUUAUUAUUAUUAUUAUUAUUAUUAUUAUUAUUAUUAUUAUUAUUAUUAUUAUUAUUAUUAUUAUUAUUAUUAUUAUUAUUAUUAUUAUUAUUAUUAUUAUUAUUAUUAUUAUUAUUAUUAUUAUUAUUAUUAUUAUUAUUAUUAUUAUUAUUAUUAUUAUUAUUAUUAUUAUUAUUAUUAUUAUUAUUAUUAUUAUUAUUAUUAUUAUUAUUAUUAUUAUUAUUAUUAUUAUUAUUAUUAUUAUUAUUAUUAUUAUUAUUAUUAUUAUUAUUAUUAUUAUUAUUAUUAUUAUUAUUAUUAUUAUUAUUAUUAUUAUUAUUAUUAUUAUUAUUAUUAUUAUUAUUAUUAUUAUUAUUAUUAUUAUUAUUAUUAUUAUUAUUAUUAUUAUUAUUAUUAUUAUUAUUAUUAUUAUUAUUAUUAUUAUUAUUAUUAUUAUUAUUAUUAUUAUUAUUAUUAUUAUUAUUAUUAUUAUUAUUAUUAUUAUUAUUAUUAUUAUUAUUAUUAUUAUUAUUAUUAUUAUUAUUAUUAUUAUUAUUAUUAUUAUUAUUAUUAUUAUUAUUAUUAUUAUUAUUAUUAUUAUUAUUAUUAUUAUUAUUAUUAUUAUUAUUAUUAUUAUUAUUAUUAUUAUUAUUAUUAUUAUUAUUAUUAUUAUUAUUAUUAUUAUUAUUAUUAUUAUUAUUAUUAUUAUUAUUAUUAUUAUUAUUAUUAUUAUUAUUAUUAUUAUUAUUAUUAUUAUUAUUAUUAUUAUUAUUAUUAUUAUUAUUAUUAUUAUUAUUAUUAUUAUUAUUAUUAUUAUUAUUAUUAUUAUUAUUAUUAUUAUUAUUAUUAUUAUUAUUAUUAUUAUUAUUAUUAUUAUUAUUAUUAUUAUUAUUAUUAUUAUUAUUAUUAUUAUUAUUAUUAUUAUUAUUAUUAUUAUUAUUAUUAUUAUUAUUAUUAUUAUUAUUAUUAUUAUUAUUAUUAUUAUUAUUAUUAUUAUUAUUAUUAUUAUUAUUAUUAUUAUUAUUAUUAUUAUUAUUAUUAUUAUUAUUAUUAUUAUUAUUAUUAUUAUUAUUAUUAUUAUUAUUAUUAUUAUUAUUAUUAUUAUUAUUAUUAUUAUUAUUAUUAUUAUUAUUAUUAUUAUUAUUAUUAUUAUUAUUAUUAUUAUUAUUAUUAUUAUUAUUAUUAUUAUUAUUAUUAUUAUUAUUAUUAUUAUUAUUAUUAUUAUUAUUAUUAUUAUUAUUAUUAUUAUUAUUAUUAUUAUUAUUAUUAUUAUUAUUAUUAUUAUUAUUAUUAUUAUUAUUAUUAUUAUUAUUAUUAUUAUUAUUAUUAUUAUUAUUAUUAUUAUUAUUAUUAUUAUUAUUAUUAUUAUUAUUAUUAUUAUUAUUAUUAUUAUUAUUAUUAUUAUUAUUAUUAUUAUUAUUAUUAUUAUUAUUAUUAUUAUUAUUAUUAUUAUUAUUAUUAUUAUUAUUAUUAUUAUUAUUAUUAUUAUUAUUAUUAUUAUUAUUAUUAUUAUUAUUAUUAUUAUUAUUAUUAUUAUUAUUAUUAUUAUUAUUAUUAUUAUUAUUAUUAUUAUUAUUAUUAUUAUUAUUAUUAUUAUUAUUAUUAUUAUUAUUAUUAUUAUUAUUAUUAUUAUUAUUAUUAUUAUUAUUAUUAUUAUUAUUAUUAUUAUUAUUAUUAUUAUUAUUAUUAUUAUUAUUAUUAUUAUUAUUAUUAUUAUUAUUAUUAUUAUUAUUAUUAUUAUUAUUAUUAUUAUUAUUAUUAUUAUUAUUAUUAUUAUUAUUAUUAUUAUUAUUAUUAUUAUUAUUAUUAUUAUUAUUAUUAUUAUUAUUAUUAUUAUUAUUAUUAUUAUUAUUAUUAUUAUUAUUAUUAUUAUUAUUAUUAUUAUUAUUAUUAUUAUUAUUAUUAUUAUUAUUAUUAUUAUUAUUAUUAUUAUUAUUAUUAUUAUUAUUAUUAUUAUUAUUAUUAUUAUUAUUAUUAUUAUUAUUAUUAUUAUUAUUAUUAUUAUUAUUAUUAUUAUUAUUAUUAUUAUUAUUAUUAUUAUUAUUAUUAUUAUUAUUAUUAUUAUUAUUAUUAUUAUUAUUAUUAUUAUUAUUAUUAUUAUUAUUAUUAUUAUUAUUAUUAUUAUUAUUAUUAUUAUUAUUAUUAUUAUUAUUAUUAUUAUUAUUAUUAUUAUUAUUAUUAUUAUUAUUAUUAUUAUUAUUAUUAUUAUUAUUAUUAUUAUUAUUAUUAUUAUUAUUAUUAUUAUUAUUAUUAUUAUUAUUAUUAUUAUUAUUAUUAUUAUUAUUAUUAUUAUUAUUAUUAUUAUUAUUAUUAUUAUUAUUAUUAUUAUUAUUAUUAUUAUUAUUAUUAUUAUUAUUAUUAUUAUUAUUAUUAUUAUUAUUAUUAUUAUUAUUAUUAUUAUUAUUAUUAUUAUUAUUAUUAUUAUUAUUAUUAUUAUUAUUAUUAUUAUUAUUAUUAUUAUUAUUAUUAUUAUUAUUAUUAUUAUUAUUAUUAUUAUUAUUAUUAUUAUUAUUAUUAUUAUUAUUAUUAUUAUUAUUAUUAUUAUUAUUAUUAUUAUUAUUAUUAUUAUUAUUAUUAUUAUUAUUAUUAUUAUUAUUAUUAUUAUUAUUAUUAUUAUUAUUAUUAUUAUUAUUAUUAUUAUUAUUAUUAUUAUUAUUAUUAUUAUUAUUAUUAUUAUUAUUAUUAUUAUUAUUAUUAUUAUUAUUAUUAUUAUUAUUAUUAUUAUUAUUAUUAUUAUUAUUAUUAUUAUUAUUAUUAUUAUUAUUAUUAUUAUUAUUAUUAUUAUUAUUAUUAUUAUUAUUAUUAUUAUUAUUAUUAUUAUUAUUAUUAUUAUUAUUAUUAUUAUUAUUAUUAUUAUUAUUAUUAUUAUUAUUAUUAUUAUUAUUAUUAUUAUUAUUAUUAUUAUUAUUAUUAUUAUUAUUAUUAUUAUUAUUAUUAUUAUUAUUAUUAUUAUUAUUAUUAUUAUUAUUAUUAUUAUUAUUAUUAUUAUUAUUAUUAUUAUUAUUAUUAUUAUUAUUAUUAUUAUUAUUAUUAUUAUUAUUAUUAUUAUUAUUAUUAUUAUUAUUAUUAUUAUUAUUAUUAUUAUUAUUAUUAUUAUUAUUAUUAUUAUUAUUAUUAUUAUUAUUAUUAUUAUUAUUAUUAUUAUUAUUAUUAUUAUUAUUAUUAUUAUUAUUAUUAUUAUUAUUAUUAUUAUUAUUAUUAUUAUUAUUAUUAUUAUUAUUAUUAUUAUUAUUAUUAUUAUUAUUAUUAUUAUUAUUAUUAUUAUUAUUAUUAUUAUUAUUAUUAUUAUUAUUAUUAUUAUUAUUAUUAUUAUUAUUAUUAUUAUUAUUAUUAUUAUUAUUAUUAUUAUUAUUAUUAUUAUUAUUAUUAUUAUUAUUAUUAUUAUUAUUAUUAUUAUUAUUAUUAUUAUUAUUAUUAUUAUUAUUAUUAUUAUUAUUAUUAUUAUUAUUAUUAUUAUUAUUAUUAUUAUUAUUAUUAUUAUUAUUAUUAUUAUUAUUAUUAUUAUUAUUAUUAUUAUUAUUAUUAUUAUUAUUAUUAUUAUUAUUAUUAUUAUUAUUAUUAUUAUUAUUAUUAUUAUUAUUAUUAUUAUUAUUAUUAUUAUUAUUAUUAUUAUUAUUAUUAUUAUUAUUAUUAUUAUUAUUAUUAUUAUUAUUAUUAUUAUUAUUAUUAUUAUUAUUAUUAUUAUUAUUAUUAUUAUUAUUAUUAUUAUUAUUAUUAUUAUUAUUAUUAUUAUUAUUAUUAUUAUUAUUAUUAUUAUUAUUAUUAUUAUUAUUAUUAUUAUUAUUAUUAUUAUUAUUAUUAUUAUUAUUAUUAUUAUUAUUAUUAUUAUUAUUAUUAUUAUUAUUAUUAUUAUUAUUAUUAUUAUUAUUAUUAUUAUUAUUAUUAUUAUUAUUAUUAUUAUUAUUAUUAUUAUUAUUAUUAUUAUUAUUAUUAUUAUUAUUAUUAUUAUUAUUAUUAUUAUUAUUAUUAUUAUUAUUAUUAUUAUUAUUAUUAUUAUUAUUAUUAUUAUUAUUAUUAUUAUUAUUAUUAUUAUUAUUAUUAUUAUUAUUAUUAUUAUUAUUAUUAUUAUUAUUAUUAUUAUUAUUAUUAUUAUUAUUAUUAUUAUUAUUAUUAUUAUUAUUAUUAUUAUUAUUAUUAUUAUUAUUAUUAUUAUUAUUAUUAUUAUUAUUAUUAUUAUUAUUAUUAUUAUUAUUAUUAUUAUUAUUAUUAUUAUUAUUAUUAUUAUUAUUAUUAUUAUUAUUAUUAUUAUUAUUAUUAUUAUUAUUAUUAUUAUUAUUAUUAUUAUUAUUAUUAUUAUUAUUAUUAUUAUUAUUAUUAUUAUUAUUAUUAUUAUUAUUAUUAUUAUUAUUAUUAUUAUUAUUAUUAUUAUUAUUAUUAUUAUUAUUAUUAUUAUUAUUAUUAUUAUUAUUAUUAUUAUUAUUAUUAUUAUUAUUAUUAUUAUUAUUAUUAUUAUUAUUAUUAUUAUUAUUAUUAUUAUUAUUAUUAUUAUUAUUAUUAUUAUUAUUAUUAUUAUUAUUAUUAUUAUUAUUAUUAUUAUUAUUAUUAUUAUUAUUAUUAUUAUUAUUAUUAUUAUUAUUAUUAUUAUUAUUAUUAUUAUUAUUAUUAUUAUUAUUAUUAUUAUUAUUAUUAUUAUUAUUAUUAUCAUUAUUAUUAUUAUCAUUAUUAUUAUAAGCUUUAAGUUGUAAAAAUAGCCUAUCCAGUUUCUAUUGUUUCCAUUCUAUUGUAAGAAAAUAUCUUGGGCAUUACACUUUUCUAUUUUUUUUGGCUUAUUUCAUUGAUAAAUUUAAUUUAAAUGGAGAUAAACUUGAAAAUUCUAAUUAACUAUAGAAUAGAUAGGCCUGAUUUGCAACUCACAUGUUCUCUCCUCUUACUCCGCUCUUCAUUAAUUUUUGUAUGUUUUUGUGACUUUAUUUAUAUAUAGUCGAGAAUCCAAAUAGUAUGAUUAAAAUAAAAAAUCGAUUAGAAGACAGGUUGGCUUCCAAUUAGGUCAGAACAGGGAAAAAAAAACUUACCGAUCACUAUUUUACGGGUGAGUUCAUGAGGAAAAUAAUUAGGAGUUGCUUUCUAUUGACCACCGGGACUUGCACGGCUGCUUGACUUGUACAAUUACUGUUGUUGAAUUUGCACGACCAUCGUUAGCAUGCUAGAAUUAGAUUGGAUUAUAUUUGCUUGUGUCUUAUAUUUUGUAUAGUAUAAGAUUAAAUUGGAUUAUAAAAGUAAUAUGUUAUUGGAUAUUAAAAUCACUUACAUAUUUAUUUAGAAAUAAGACUACUUACAUUUAAAAAAUUAUUCUGAACACACUAAUUUUAAUAAAAGUAUAUAUUUAAAAAAUAAAUUAAAUGCCUAUAAAUGCCUCUAUAAAGAACAUAUAUUAAUUCAUUCACCUGCUCCCUCCCACCCGCCUUAAUUAAUUAUCAAGGCAACACCAGUCUCUGUCCAACGAGUCACUUAUUCCAAUUAAAGUGGUAUCCUUUUCUUUUGUGAGACUAGAACCAUGUACUUUAAUGUUCACAUUGGUGUUGCCCAUACGCCAAACAUAUCAUCAAGCUUAGCUAAUUAUUACUCGAAAUCAAUAAUUAAAUGAGGAUGGAAACCUUAUCCAUUAAACAUUAAUCUUUGUCCCUUAUUAUUAUUUAAACUCGGGUAACAAUAAUGUAAAGUGCAUAUUUAAUUAUGACCAAUUCAGCUAAGCCUAAGUAAUAUAUGUCAAUAAUGUAGUGUCUAGUGUCAUAGAUUAAACUUGAACCAUCUCAUAACUAGGACAAGGAUCCUCUCUCUCUCUCUCUUUUUCCUUUUUUUAGUCUUAUAUCCUCUCCUAGUUUAAUGAAUAGCUAAGAAUGAGUUUGGAAUUUUAAUGUUGACAAUUAAGUUGAUUUUUUUUUUCAACUUAUUUAUAAUUAUGUCAACUCUUUUCACUAAAUUUAAAAAAACUAGAAAAAGCUAGGAGAAAAAAAAUAUUAAAAGAAGAUCCUAAUCCCACAAGUUAAACUCAAACCAUGCAGUACUUAAUUUUGAUGAGUGAAAAUUUGAGUUUUGAAUUUUGAUGUUGACAAACUUUAAAACCAUGCAACACUAGUGCAAAGCAUGGCGAAUGAUAGCGCUCACUAAGCUUGAAAAGCCCAAUAAAUUGUAUAAAAGAGCAUAUUGAGCACUGGGGAUUGGAGCUUUUGGUGACUUGGCUCAAAUGAAGCCAGUUCUUUGUAAAUGGAGAAAUUACAUAUGUACAAGUUAUAAUAAGACUCAAUUAUAUCAAAGCAUAUUAGAUAGGAUAAGUUUGGAAUAUUUAUAAUUACAAUUGACCUAUACCUAGUAAGAGUGUAGAUCAUAAUUAUGAAACUCUACGACAAAUGUACAUAUCUAUUGAAAUAUGGAUCUUGAUGGAUUAAGCAUGCAUCUCCUACUCCUCUCCUAUAAAGAGGUUUUAAUACAUUUACAACUGGAGGCAACAUGCCCACUGCUAGAGUUAUCACAUCGGUAUCGUUAGAUUAGCAAUUUUGUUUAUGAUUUUAUCUAAUAGUAAUUUGUCGUUUUGUUUUUGGUUUCAAAUGGGCUCUUAAACAGUGCUAAAUAGUAACUAGGUGGGGGUAUGAAACCUCAUACAUAUCAUGCGUGAGAAAAGGAAAAACACCAACUGAAGGAUAGUUGAGAAUGUGAAGACCCAAGGGGAGAGAUAGGGCAUAGCUUGCAAUGAAAUCUAUCAUAAAAUUUGCUUUGCGAUAAACAUGGAUAACGGUGAUAUGCUAGUCACGUCGCAGGAGAUCCUUUAUAAAUCGAACUAACGGGAUGUAUUCAUUAGUAGAACACAAACGAUUACCAACCAGUUGAGUCACACAUAAGCUAUCCAAUUCCACAUUCAACCAGCAAAUACCUUUUUGCCAAACGACAAACAAAUCUUGAAACAACCCCAAGAGUUCCGCAACAAUAACAAAACAAGAACAAAUAUUUAUGCAAAAGCCAACCAAUCAAUUCCCAUUAUGAUCACAGAUAAGUCCACCGUGUUAGAUUCCCCAAUUCUCUUAGCUUCACCAUUUGUAUUAAGCUCGCACCAAGGCUAGAUGGGGGAAUUCACGCGAUCUACUUCUCGGACCUUCUGAAUUCUGAUUCUCGUACACAUGGGGGAGUUAUUUACUUUAUAAAUUUCCGCUACUCUCACACUGAUACCGUUCAUCAUGUAAUCACUAUCCACAAAGAGGUCAUUAAAAAAAAAAAAAAAUUGGUUCCGCUAGUACCAAAGCCUCCAGAAUGCAAAUCAAAGAAACAUCUCCAGCUAACAUCUUUCUUGAAAAUCCAAUUAUUCUUUAAAUUCUUACACAUCUAAUCACGAAGGUCUAAAGAAUAAAAAGCUUGUCAAUUACACAUAGGCAUGACAUGUGAUUAACACUUGAAAGUGUACAUGUAAUAAGGUAAAAUUAUUAGUUUUUCACUUAAAGUGUUGAUUAAUGUACUCAUUAUUAUUAAAUUAUCUUAACACUCCCUAAAUAUAUUUUUAUGUUAAAUUAAUUCGCAAUAUGUUGAUUUUUAUCUUGUAAAUAUUUUUCAAGAAUAAAGAUGGAAUUGGAAUUGAAAGUGAGAAUAAAAAAGAACUGCUUGAGGAUAAUUGAGGAGAUGUAAUUAAUAAAAUAAAAAAAUAAAAAAUAAAAAGGGUGAGCAACCAUACUCGUGAUGGUCAAGUGGCCAUCUUACCACCUGACCAUCACACCUCUCAAUGUAUAUAUAUAUAUUAUAAAAAUAAAAUAAAAUAAAAUAUAAUAAUAAUAAAACAAUAAAAAAAAAGGAUGGAGCCCUUGCCUUUUGAUGCAAGCAGGAGCUGAAGCCGAUAGAGAGAGCCGAGAGUGAAGCUGAGGAAAUCUUUAUUUCUUUUCUUGUUUUCUGGUGUAAUCAAUUUCCUUGUAAUAUAUUUCAAAAGUUUGUCAAAUAAAAAAAGUGUUUUGUUUUCUUUCAAUAUGAGUGACUAAUUUUAUUAAACUGAGGUGAAGGGUGAAACUCAAGAUUUUAAAUUAUUGAGUUAAUUAUUCUCCCAAGUGAGUCUUAAAGUUUAUUUUCUUUAUUUAUAUUUUUCUUCCUUACUGGUUUCUUUUAUGUCAUUUUAAUUUAUAAAUUCAAAUCUCUGUAGAUUUAUAUGGUAUUUUGAUAUAAUGUUGACACUUGAUCAAUAUAGUGGCGACACAUUAGGUACUUAGUCCCAUAUUUAUCACACUAAUGAUUAGUUAAAAAUUAAAUGGCAUAAUAAUUAACUGGUAAAAGAAAUGCAAAAUAUAAAAUUUGAGAGAGUGUUAUAACCAUAAUUUGAAAUCUGAAAGUGGAUCCCAUAACCUUAGCAUAUUUUUAGAUUGACUCAAAUUAAUUUCUUUUCCUACAUUAAAUUUUAUUAGUUUAAUAAAUUGAUUGCUAGAUUUUAAAUUCCUUAUUGUUCGAUCCCGGACUCAUCGAGUUAUAUUAACUAGAUACUCUUAUAUUUGAGAGUAAUAACACUUUUGAGUCGUGUCAACAUGAUUCCAAAACCUACAAAGUAUUCUCCAGAAUGGCUCCACAACAAUCACAUCCACUCCUUGCUGGAAUCUGCCUUCUUAGCAACUCAACAUUAAGGCAUAAUUUAGAGAAAACUACAGAUACAAUGUGGGCCUUGCCAAUUUCGAAGCCAAACUACAAAUCCGAUCUUCCUUAUUAUGGCCAUGACUAGAAAUGGCAUGGUAGGCUAAUUGAACAAUGAAACUACCCUUCUUGGACUCUGCCCAUAAAACUUAAUCUUUCACCCAUAUGAUUCAUUGGCAAUUGAAAGGAAGUAACUUUUAGAAUAAUUUUAUUAGGCAAUAAAUGCUCGAAAGUAGCCUACUUCUUGCUAUCAGACUCAUCUACAAAAUCUAUAACAACAUUAUACAAGAUAUUUGCACGAAGAUCACUAGUAGGAUAAAACAACAAAGGCUUGUCUCUUGUUACCCAAUAGUCCUGCCAAAACUUGACCAUUUUUCUAUCCCCUAUACUCUAUCGAGUACUCAUAAAAGUAUCAUUCCAAAUGCUCCCAAUUGAUCACCAUUAGUGAGAACCAAAUCUCGUAGGCAAUAUAUGAGGCAAAUUAGACGAACCCAAACGAUACUUCGUGAUUAGAUCCUGAGACCACGGGCUAGCUAGAGAAGUAAUCAUAUUGUGCGCGGAAUGCGGAAUCAAGCGCACUAAAUAAUUAUAGAAAAAUAAAGGACACAAGAAUUACGUGAUUCAGUAAUUAAACCUACAUCCACAGAGGCAAGAAAGAAUAAGUGUUUAUUUAACAAUUAAUAGAGUACAAUAUUUGAGUAACGAAUCUCACUUCCUAGAAACCUAAAUAUAUCCAGUACUCUCACACUCUGCAGGAAAGAUAAAUUCCCUAGACACACUUCUCUCACUUCUCUCAAAAGCUUAGAAACUUAUAAGCUUAACAAUUUUGGGAUGCUAAAGAAUGGGAUUGUCGCUAUGGUAGAGAUGAUCAGGUAGAGUCCCACGAGCCAUGAAAUCGUAUACAAGGAUCAUCUCCCUGUCAUCGUUGCAAAAGCCUAUGAGAGAGACUAAAUGAAGAUGCCGGAGCUGCGAGAGCAUUCCUAUCUCAGUUUGGAAUUCCAGGGCACCCUGUUGCGACUCUGGUUCCAGUCGUUUAAUGGCAACAGGGGUAGUGCUGCCAUUGAUGAAGCCUUUGUAGACAUCUCCAAACCCUCCAACUCCAAUUACGAGAUCAUUGUCGAAGUUGUUUGUAGCCGCUUGGAUUUCAGAUAGUGAAAAUUGGGUGCAAAGAUCGGAAGGAAGGAAUGAGCCGCGUGAUGACUUGGUUGCCUUGAUAGUCUUAGAAGAAAUAAAAGUCCCCAAAAGUGAAGUACCUGUACCGGAACUCGAAUCCUUGACUUUUCUUCCUCGCCAGAAAAUUAACAACAAUAGAAGAGAUAGCACACUAGAGCCUGAUAUAGCACCAGCAACCAUCCCGGUUACAUUAUUCUUCUUAGUCGGUUCUAUUGUUGGAGACGCAUCCAAAUUAGGUGGAAUCGUCCGAGGCUCAGGAUUAGGUCCGCCGAGAUUUCCAGUGUUGUCCACUUUAAAGAUUUCAAGGCCGUUCAAGAUAGCAUCAGAGUAUUUGGUCCUCCAUCUGGGGGCAGGGUGCAGUUGAAUAGAAAGAUUCUG